rnacentral:rRNA from 1 species
UGGCGGCAAUAGCGCGGUGGUCCCACCUGACCCCAUGCCGAACUCAGCAGUGAAACGCCGUAGCGCCGAUGGUAGUGUGGGGUCUCCCCAUGUGAGAGUAGGAUACUGCCAGACA